UGGCGUUGCCCAGACAACUAGGAUGUUGGCUUAGAAGCAGCCAUCAUUUAAAGAGUGCGUAAUAGCUCACUAGUCGAGUGACACUGCGCCGAAAAUGUACCGGGGCUAAACAUAUUACCGAAGCUGUGGAUUGUCCUUUGGACAAUGGUAGGAGAGCGUUCUAAGGGCGUUGAAGCAUGAUCGUAAGGACAUGUGGAGCGCUUAGAAGUGAGAAUGCCGGUGUGAGUAGCGAAAGACGGGUGAGAAUCCCGUCCACCGAUUGACUAAGGUUUCCAGAGGAAGGCUCGUCCGCUCUGGGUUAGUCGGGUCCUAAGCUGAGGCCGACAGGCGUAGGCGAUGGAUAACAGGUUGAUAUUCCUGUACCACCUAUAAUCGUUUUAAUCGAUGGGGGGACGCAGUAGGAUAGGCGAAGCGUGCGAUUGGAUUGCACGUCUAAGCAGUAAGGCUGAGUAUUAGGCAAAUCCGGUACUCGUUAAGGCUGAGCUGUGAUGGGGAGAAGACAUUGUGUCUUCGAGUCGUUGAUUUCACACUGCCGAGAAAAGCCUCUAGAUAGAAAAUAGGUGCCCGUACCGCAAACCGACACAGGUAGUCAAGAUGAGAAUUCUAAGGUGAGCGAGCGAACUCUCGUUAAGGAACUCGGCAAAAUGACCCCGUAACUUCGGGAGAAGGGGUGCUCUUUAGGGUUAACGCCCAGAAGAGCCGCAGUGAAUAGGCCCAAGCGACUGUUUAUCAAAAACACAGGUCUCUGCUAAACCGUAAGGUGAUGUAUAGGGGCUGACGCCUGCCCGGUGCUGGAAGGUUAAGAGGAGUGGUUAGCUUCUGCGAAGCUACGAAUCGAAGCCCCAGUAAACGGCGGCCGUAACUAUAACGGUCCUAAGGUAGCGAAAUUCCUUGUCGGGUAAGUUCCGACCCGCACGAAAGGCGUAACGAUUUGGGCACUGUCUCAACGAGAGACUCGGUGAAAUCAUAGUACCUGUGAAGAUGCAGGUUACCCGCGACAGGACGGAAAGACCCCGUGGAGCUUUACUGUAGCCUGAUAUUGAAAUUCGGCACAGCUUGUACAGGAUAGGUAGGAGCCUUUGAAACGUGAGCGCUAGCUUACGUGGAGGCGCUGGUGGGAUACUACCCUAGCUGUGUUGGCUUUCUAACCCGCACCACUUAUCGUGGUGGGAGACAGUGUCAGGCGGGCAGUUUGACUGGGGCGGUCGCCUCCUAAAAGGUAACGGAGGCGCUCAAAGGUUCCCUCAGAAUGGUUGGAAAUCAUUCAUAGAGUGUAAAGGCAUAAGGGAGCUUGACUGCGAGACCUACAAGUCGAGCAGGGUCGAAAGACGGACUUAGUGAUCCGGUGGUUCCGCAUGGAAGGGCCAUCGCUCAACGGAUAAAAGCUACCCCGGGGAUAACAGGCUUAUCUCCCCCAAGAGUUCACAUCGACGGGGAGGUUUGGCACCUCGAUGUCGGCUCAUCGCAUCCUGGGGCUGUAGUCGGUCCCAAGGGUUGGGCUGUUCGCCCAUUAAAGCGGUACGCGAGCUGGGUUCAGAACGUCGUGAGACAGUUCGGUCCCUAUCCGUCGUGGGCGUAGGAAAUUUGAGAGGAGCUGUCCUUAGUACGAGAGGACCGGGAUGGACAUACCUCUGGUGUACCAGUUGUCGUGCCAACGGCAUAGCUGGGUAGCUAUGUGUGGACGGGAUAAGUGCUGAAAGCAUCUAAGCAUGAAGCCCCCCUCAAGAUGAGAUUUCCCAACUUCGGUUAUAAGAUCCCUCAAAGAUGAUGAGGUUAAUAGGUUCGAGGUGGAAGCAUGGUGACAUGUGGAGCUGACGAAUACUAAUCGAUCGAAGACUUAAUCAA
rnacentral:rRNA from 1 species